AGUGAACGCUGGCGGUAGGCCUAACACAUGCAAGUCGAACGGCAGCACAGUAAGAGCUUGCUCUUACGGGUGGCGAGUGGCGGACGGGUGAGGAAUAUAUCGGAAUCUACUUUUUCGUGGGGGAUAACGUAGGGAAACUUACGCUAAUACCGCAUACGACCUACGGGUGAAAGCAGGGGAUCUUCGGACCUUGUGCGAUUGAAUGAGCCGAUGUGGGAGUAGUUAGUUGGCGGGGUAAAGGCCAACCAAGGCGACGAUCCGCAGCUGGUGUGGGAGGAGGGUCACCGGCACUGGAAGUUGACCACGGUCCAGAGGCCUACGGGAGGCACCAGUGGGGAAUAUUGGACAAUGGGCGCAAGCCUGGUCCAGCCAUACCGCGUGGGUGAAGAAGGCCUUCGGGUUGUAAAGCCCGUUUGUUGGGAAAGAAAAGCAGCAGGUUGAUACCCCGCUGUACUGACGGUACCCAAAGAAUAAGCACCGGCUAACUUCGUG
rnacentral:rRNA from 1 species